AACGGCCGCGGUAUAUUGACCGUGCAAAGGUAGCAUAAUCAUUAGUCUUUUAAUAGAAGGCUGGAAUGAAAGGUUUAACGAAAAAUUAGCUGUCUCAAUUAUAAUUUUGAAUUUAACUUUUAAGUCAAAAGGCUUAAAUUUUGUUGGAGGACGAGAAGACCCUAUAGAGCUUUACAUUUAAUAUUUCGUUAAAUUAAUUUAGAUUAAUACUUUUAAUUUACUUUUUAAGAUGUUUUGUUGGGGUGACAAGAAAUAUAUAUUUAACUUUUAUCAUUUUAUUUUCAUUAAUUUAUGGUUAUUGGAUCCAAAAAUUUUGAUCAAUAGAAUAAGUUACCUUAGGGAUAACAGCGUAAUCUUCCCUCAGAGUUCAAAUUUACGGGAAGGGUUGCGACCUCGAUGUUGGAUUAAGAUAAUAGUUAGGUGCAGUAGCUUAAUGUUUAGGUCUGUUCGAC
rnacentral:rRNA from 1 species